rnacentral:rRNA from 1 species
AUUUUUUUUUUUUCUUAUUUAUUCCCCUCCUGGCCCCAAUUCAUUUUAAAUUGCUGUGGUAUUUUGACUAUACAAAGGUAUUGAAAUAAGAUUUUAAUUGAAUGCUAAGAGAAUGGAAGUCCAGAAAAAAACUUUUUUUAAAUUAAAAAUUGAAGUUUUUUUAAUUUGUGCAGAAACAAUUAUUUAUAUUAAAGACAAGAAGACCCUAUGAAUUUAUUAAAUUUUUAUUUAAUAUGUAAUUACUAUUAGAAAAAUUUUGGCUGGGGCGGCUAGAAAAUAUUAUGAACUUUUUAAAAAUAAAAUGAUCCAUUAUUAAUGAUUUUAUGUUAAAUACUCUAGGGAUAACAGCGUUAUAUUUUUUGAUAGAUCAUAUUGACAAAAAAGUUUGCGACCUCGAUGUUGGAUUAGGAUACUUUUUUAAUGAAGAUAUAAAAAAAGAAGUUGUCACUA